CUUUAAUAAAAAUGAAGACUGUACAUGUAGCCCUCCUUAUCUGCUUGAUAGUUGGAAUAUUUGAUGUCUAUUCAGUCUCUGCUGACGAUGACGACGACGACGAAACAGACACAUGUCUGAGCUGUAAACAAAGCUGUGAUUGUGACUGUAUCUACGCACAUUGUGAGGACAAAAGCUGUUGCGGACUGAAGAGAGAUAUAAUAAGAAAUCCAUAACUACCUACAAUAAUGAAUUGUUGCC